CGGGGCGUAGUUCAGUUGGUAGAAUGAAGGCUUAAGGCUCGUUGUGGUCGGCAGGUUCCAAGUCCAGUCGCCCCGACCA
rnacentral:tRNA from 1 species